UGGUUGAUGAGGUUAGUGAGU
rnacentral:piRNA from 1 species